rnacentral:rRNA from 1 species
CGAAAGCCUGACAGAGCAACGCCGCGUGAGGGAUGAAGGCCUCUGGGCUGUAAACCUCUUUUCUCAAGGAAGAAGAUCUGACGGUACUUGAGGAAUAAGCCACGGCUAAUUCCGUGCCAGCAGCCGCGGUAAUACGGGAGUGGCAAGCGUUAUCCGGAAUUAUUGGGCGUAAAGCGUCCGCAGGCGGCCUUGUAAGUCUGUCGUUAAAGCGUGGAGCUUAACUCCAUUUCAGCGAUGGAAACUACAAGGCUUGAGUGUGGUAGGGGCAGAGGGAAUUCCCGGUGUAGCGGUGAAAUGCGUAGAUAUCGGGAAGAACACCAGUGGCGAAGGCGCUCUGCUGGGCCAUAACUGACGCUCAUGGACGAAAGCCAGGGGAGCG